GAGGGAUUUUCGCUGUGUUUCCCAAGUGGGCCUCGAACUCCUGGGCUCAAGUGAUACCCCCCACCUCAGCCUCGUGACUAGCUGGGAUUAAAGGGGGUCUUGUUCUCUCACCCGGACAGUAGUGGAGUGGCGCAAUCACAGCUCAAUGCAUCUUCGAACUCCUGGGCUCAAGUGAUCCUCCUACCUCACCCUGAGUAACUGGGAUUACAGGCAUGAGCUAUCAUGCCCAGCUCUCAUUUUACCUUUUUGAAUCUUAGAAAGAGGAACCAGAAUCCAUAUAGCCAAUUGAAGCAAUGUGACACAUAUAAGAACUCAAUUUAGGAAUUCAAGGUUAUUGCCUGGAAUCAUUGUACUGAGGUUUAUAGCCAAUCAUAGAUCAAAGAUCACCAGAAGGACCAUGUCAGAAGACUGGGCAGUAAAUAAUUUGCAGUUGUUUGUUCCAAUACAUUCUAAUGUGCCCUUUGAUCUUAAAAAGUUCAUGGACAGAUGAUGGUGAGGGAAAUAAAGGACAGCAGAGUUCAG
rnacentral:lncRNA from 1 species